rnacentral:lncRNA from 1 species
AUGCAACCCAAAAUGAAAACUGAUAUAGCCUCACAAAAAUUUUAAAAUUGUGAUAGAGAUUGUAUUCAUCAGUAGAAGUACACACGACCUGAAUGAAGCAUGAAAACUAUUAUCAUCGAGUGAACAUGCUCCCUUGUAUAUAUAAUAGAGCUGGUAUAGAUAAUAAAGGAGUACAAUAUUGAUGGAAGGAUUUCUGACUGAAACGAAUCAGCUGACAUGUGUGAGCUCUCCCACUCCUUCAGUGAUGAUGUCACCAUCGCUAAGUUAUUUCUAAGCAAAACCCCAGCCACACCAUUGUCUGUAUCAUACCAGAAAAGCAGCAUCGCCGCCCUAGUAUAUAACUGUAAUACUCCCU